rnacentral:rRNA from 1 species
UACGAAGGGGGCUAGCGUUGCUCGGAAUCACUGGGCGUAAAGCGCACGUAGGCGGAUCUUUAAGUCAGGGGUGAAAUCCUGGAGCUCAACUCCAGAACUGCCUUUGAUACUGGGGAUCUCGAGUCCGGGGAGAGGUGAGUGGAACUCCGAGUGUAGAGGUGAAAUUCGUAGAUAUUCGGAAGAACACCAGUGGCGAAGGCGGCUCACUGGCCCGGUACUGACGCUGAGGUGCGAAAGCGUGGGGAGCAAACAGG